ACAUAAUAUAAUGUUAAAGAGCCGCGGUAUCCUGACCGUGCAAAGGUAGCAUAAUCAUUAGUUCUUUAAUUGAGAACUUGUAUGAAUGGCCGGACAAGAGAAACCCUGUCUCUACUAUUAUAGUAGAAUUUAACUUUUAAGUGAAAAGGCUUAAAUUUUUCAAGGGGACGAUAAGACCCUAUAAAGCUUUAUAUAUUAGUCAGAAUUAAUUAAAUUGAAUAAAUAAAAAUUUAGUCUUAAAAAUAUAUUUAGUUGGGGCGACGAAAGUAUAAUUAAUAAUAACUGCUUAAGCUUAAUACAAUAAUAAAUGAUUUUUUUUUAAUUGAUCCUUUUUAAAGAUUAAAGACCAAGUUACUUUAGGGAUAACAGCGUAAUUUCUUUUGAGAGUCCAUAUCGAAGAAGAAGUUUGCGACCUCGAUGUUGAAUUAA
rnacentral:rRNA from 1 species